AUGGUGAGCGGCCGCGCGCGUGGGACGGCGUCUACGACGAUGGAUUCGAAGGGGCAAAAUAGGGGGAAUCGGAGGAGAAGCUCACUGCGAGCCUGCAGAGAUGCUAAGUGGGCUCGACGACGCCGGAAUCAAAGACGAAUGGCGUCGGUCCGAGUUGAAGGCGAGGUCGAUGGCGGAGCUCGGGGCCGGCCUAGCUUGAUUCCGUGCACGAGGAGGAGGAAGCAGACGAUGGCGGAUCCGCGGGACAUCCCAGCUCGGCGUGGGGGCGACGGUAGCCGCGAGGUCGACGGCAACAGCGGCGACGGAGGCGUUCGGGAGUGGGCGGAUCUGGCGAGGGGAAAGGGAAGGGGUGCGCUAGGGUUCGGCAAGGGAGGGAGGAGGACGAGAGCGUCCUCUUAA
rnacentral:rRNA from 1 species